GUAGUCCACGCCCUAAACGAUGUCGACUGGUUGUUGGGGGUUUGACACUCUCAGUAACGAAGCUAACGCGUGAAGUCGACCGCCUGGGGAGUACGGCCGCAAGGUUAAAACUCAAAGGAAUUGACGGGGACCCGCACAAGCGGUGGAUUAUGUGGAUUAAUUCGAUGCAACGCGAAAAACCUUACCUACCCUUGACAUGUCCUGAAUCCUGGAGAGAUCUGGGAGUGCCCGAAAGGGAACGGGAACACAGGUGCUGCAUGGCUGUCGUCAGCUCGUGUCGUGAGAUGUUGGGUUAAGUCCCGCAACGAGCGCAACCCUUGUCAUUAGUUGCUACAUUCAGUUGGGCACUCUAAUGAGACUGCCGGUGACAAACCGGAGGAAGGUGGGGAUGACGUCAAGUCCUCAUGGCCCUUAUGGGUAGGGCUUCACACGUAAUACAAUGGCGCGUACAGAGGGUUGCCAAGGAGCGAUCUGGAGCCAAUCCCUAUAAAGCGCGUCGUAGUCCGGAUUGCAGUCUGCAACUCGACUGCAUGAAGUCGGAAUCGCUAGUAAUCGCGGAUCAGCAUGUCGCGGUGAAUACGUUCCCGGGUCUUGUACACACCGCCCGUCACACCAUGGGAGUGGGUUUCACCAGAAGCCGGUCGCCUAACCGCAAGGAGGGCGCCGACCACGGUGAGAUUCAUGACUGGGGUG
rnacentral:rRNA from 1 species